AUGACCUACAGAUUGUCUAUCUCUAAACGUCCUUUCGCUUGUCACAACAAGGCCCAAUCACAGUGCCAGGUGAAAAAGCAGGUUAACCAACUCAAAGUCUUUUCAUCCAAUAUCGUCCGAUGCUCUCAAAACAGUCUGGAGGUUUUUGUACAGCAAGUGAAUGAGAAUGAAUCACUGUGGUGGACUUUUGGUGGAGGAACCAAACUGAGUGUUGGAACUGACACCCAACCCACUCUAACGGUCCUGCCACCCUCCAGAGAUGAGUUGAAGCAGGGUAAAGCUACAGUCAUGUGUGUAGGCAGUAAGGGAUUUCCCUCUGACUGGAAGUUGAGCUGGAAGGUGGAUGGUGGCAGCAGGAACUCUGGUGUUAAUGUGAGUCCUGGUGUGCUGCAGAAAGAUGGACUGUACAGCUGGAGCAGCAGUAUGACUCUCACUGAGAGUGAGUGGAGCAGUGCAAAAACCAUCAGCUGUGAAGCCACUCAGAGCUCCCAGAAACCAGUCACCAAGAUCCUGAACACACAAGAGUGUGAUGUGGAGUGAAAUUACACAAACCUUCACAUGCACACCUACAGUAUACAGUGUACUCCCACAUUAACAUACACUGUCACACACUAUCCUACAUCAGAAAAUUGGUCAACAGUUAACCUUUCCUCUCCCUAAGCAUGCAGCUUAAACCUUGUUUUAUGUAAUGCACUGCAGACCUUUUUUGAAUUGUUAAUUCUGUCAUUCAUAUUGCCAAAUAAAAGCAUUUUAACUCA